rnacentral:rRNA from 1 species
UACGGGGGGUGCGAGCGUUGUCCGGAAUCACUGGGCGUAAAGGGCGCGUAGGUGGUUUGAUAAGGGUGUGGUGAAAGUCCGGAGCUCAACUCCGGAUCUGCCGUGCCGACUGUCAAACUCGAGGGCUGUAGAGGCAGACGGAAUUCCGGGUGUAGCGGUGGAAUGCGUAGAGAGUCCGGAGGAAGACCGGUGGCGAAGGCGGUCUGCUGGGCAGUUUCUGACACUGAGGCGCGACAGCGUGGGGAGCAA